GACGUGGUGGCCUAAUGGUUACCGCGCUGCACUCCAGAUUGAGCGGUCCAGGUUCGAGCCCUGGCCGGGGUGACU